GGCUGUGGUUCAGUGGUAGAGCGCUCGCCUAGCAUGUGCGAGGCCCUGGGUUCGAUCUCAGCACCA
rnacentral:tRNA from 1 species